UACAGAGGGUGCGAGCGUUAAUCGGAAUUACUGGGCGUAAAGCGCGCGUAGGCGGCUUUGCAAGUCGGGUGUGAAAUCCCCAGGCUUAACCUGGGAACUGCAUUCGAGACUGCAUUGCUAGAGUAUGGGAGAGGGAAGUGGAAUUUCCGGUGUAGCGGUGAAAUGCGUAGAUAUCGGAAGGAACAUCAGUGGCGAAGGCGGCGACCUGGUCCGAUACUGACGCUGAGGCACGAAAGCGUGGGGAGCAAACAGG
rnacentral:rRNA from 1 species